UGGGGAAUAUUGGACAAUGGGCGCAAGCCUGAUCCAGCCAUGCCGCGUGAGUGACGAAGGCCUUAGGGUUGUAAAGCUCUUUUACCAGGGAUGAUAAUGACAGUACCUGGAGAAUAAGCUCCGGCUAACUCCGUGCCAGCAGCCGCGGUAAUACGGAGGGAGCUAGCGUUGUUCGGAAUUACUGGGCGUAAAGCGUACGUAGGCGGUGACUCAAGUCAGAGGUGAAAGCCUGGAGCUCAACUCCAGAACUGCCUUUGAAACUAGGUCGCUAGAAUCACGGAGAGGUGAGUGGAAUUCCGAGUGUAGAGGUGAAAUCCGUAGAUAUUCGGAAGAACACCAGUGGCGAAGGCGGCUCACUGGACGUGUAUUGACGCUGAGGUACGAAAGCGUGGGGAGCAAACAGGAUUAGAUACCCCAGUAGUCCCUGAGCGGGCUGGCAAGGCGCAU
rnacentral:rRNA from 1 species